rnacentral:rRNA from 1 species
GCUCUGGGUCACCUCCCACCCGUGUUUAUUUUACCUUGUUGCUUCGGCGGGCCCGCCUUAACUGGCCGCCGGGGGGCUUACGCCCCCGGGCCCGCGCCCGCCGAAGACACCCUCGAACUCUGUCUGAAGAUUGUAGUCUGAGUGAAAAUAUAAAUUAUUUAAAACUUUCAACAACGGAUCUCUUGGUUCCGGCAUCGAUGAAGAACGCAGCGAAAUGCGAUACGUAAUGUGAAUUGCAAAUUCAGUGAAUCAUCGAGUCUUUGAACGCACAUUGCGCCCCCUGGUAUUCCGGGGGGCAUGCCUGUCCGAGCGUCAUUGCUGCCCUCAAGCACGGCUUGUGUGUUGGGCCCCGUCCUCCGAUCCCGGGGGACGGGCCCGAAAGGCAGCGGCGGCACCGCGUCCGGUCCUCGAGCGUAUGGGGCUUUGUCACCCGCUCUGUAGGCCCGGCCGGCGCUUGCCGAUCAACCCAAAUUUUUAUCCAGGUUGACCUCGGAUCAGGUAGGGAUACCCGCUGAACUUAAGCAUAUCAAAAGCCAGGAGGAAUC